CAGAUAUGAACCACUGCACGUGGCUGACAUUAGCAUAAUUUAAAGCCACACUGUGCCUCUCAUGGGCAGGCAGGGUGAGAGCCCCUGUCAGUCAUGCGGUGGGAGACACAGAGGGCUGCUCCGGGACAAGGACCUGCUGCACAGCAGGCAGGAAGACAUUUUCAAAUUCCAGAAAUGCUGACGGACCUCCAGCGUUUCCAUGUUCCUCCCCACCUGAAGAAUGUUAAGAUAAGCUUAAUGUGAUUAUAACGAGACUUAUAUGCCCAACAAGCAUAGUUUGGGAAAGAGAUUUGCUUUGAAUACUGUGAAAUAAGCUUUAAUCUGUCAGGUUUAAAAAAAAAAGUUCCUGUGAAUUAAUAAUGCAAACAGCACUGUGCUUUCUGAGUGCGACUAUAAAAGAAUUUAAUGACCUCCUAUUGUGUCAAGCUGUGGAUUAACUUCAAUUUUCAGAAGAUCCCAGGAUGCAGGAGUCAGGGUUUGAACUCCUGAGAAAAGUAAAUGCUAAACCCUAAAUGGCCACUGAGUAAAGAAUCCUAUUGUCCCCGCUGCAUAGCAACCAGUCCCAGUAGGAGGAUAUCCUACUUUGGAUAAAAUGAAGUGUCCAGAAAGUGAAAACAGCCUUGACACCAGUUUGUGUUAAAACUAUAUGAAUAUUUAAAAUGCUUAACAUCUGAUCAAAUAACUGAUUCCCGAAGAUUAGCUCUAAACCUUAGACAAGUAGUACAGCGGUCAUUACAUUUCGUAAUCACUUUCAGGCCGAACUCAGUUGGGGUGGACAUUUCAAUUCACAGAAUCAACUGCUAGGUCCCCAUUUAGGAACUCCAUUCCUCCUGGGUGGGCUGACGAUGAAGCCCUUGUUACUCCCUGGUGUCACAUAGCACCAGCUUAUGUCUUAAGGGCAAUGCUGGCGUGAGGACAUGAGAGUAGAGCCCCACAAAUCAGGAAUGUGGUGACAAGAACUGCACAGUGGGGCAGGGAGCUAAGAGAAGGGUCCAGUGGGGAUCCAUAAUGGGCAACACAGAAGGUAGCUGUGCACACAGGCACCAGAGUCUUCAUCCUGGGCCACUGCAGAGAGCCCCCUAAACCCAGAAAAGAACUUGCUCCCAAACAAAAUCAGAUUUACAAGGAAAUGAAUCUUGGAGAGCAUCUCCCCAGGGCCUUUGGCCUCCAUCAGCUGGGACACCCACGUUCCCAGAAGGAGGAUGGCCACCUCCUCGGUGGGAUUUCCCAAGGGCUCCUGCUAGAAUGCGAUGGAUUUCCCUGGAUGGCGUUUCACAGCGGAAACCGUGGGAUUGAUUUUGAACGUAAUGGGUCUGUAUGUGCUUCUGAAAGCGACCUCCUAUAAAUCAUCUGCUCCUCAGAUGGCCCCAUGAGGUAGGGAAGCUCUAAAGCUUGCUUUCUCUGUUACAGAAGGAAAUGAGCACAUCAUCGCAGCCUCUUGGUAAACUGCACCCCCUCCCUUCCUAUGGGUGAACUAAAACAGGAAAAAAUGAAACUGGCAGAUGUGAGAAAACUGGGAAAGAUCCAACAAAGGAAACCAAACUUUGUUUGUAAAAUAUAAAGAGAGGAUGAGGACCCCUCCUCCAGGAUCUCUGUGUGUCUGCCUCUGUCCUAGCACUGACUGCAGUGACACUGCAUGUUUACAUGACCAUCCCUCCACAGAGCACAUUUUCCAAAGGGCAGGGCCAUGUCUUCCAUAACCUGUAUUCCCAGUGCCCUACUCAUGCCUGGGACAAACACACAACAUGGGAGGUGCUCCUGAAUGUGCAGGUACUAACAGGGAGAAGAUGCAGUGGAUUUAACUUGGAAGAUUAUUAAAGGAAGGUGCUGCAUGUCUGCAGACAAUGAUUCAAGUUAGGAUAAAUGCGGAGGCAGAAUUUCUGGGGAAAAGGCCUAGCAGACAAAGGAGGUAGGAGUCUAGAAUGUUCCUUCAGUCUGGUCUACUCAACAAUCUUUUCAAAUGCAAACUACCGUCUUAGCUUAGGAUGGGGAAAGAUCCACUUUCUUAGAGAUGGGAGCUUGCAGCCACCUGUCACACACUUAAAAAGGAAUUUGAGUCCUGGUGCAGUGGCUCACGCCUGUAAUCCCAACACUUUGAGAGGCCAAGGUGGGCAGAUCACUUGAGGUCAGGAGUUCAAGACCAGCCCUGGCCAACAUGGUGAAACCCCAUGCCUACUAAAAAUGCAAAACUUAGCCACAUGUGGUGGCACAUGACACAUGACUUUAAUCCCAGCUACUCAGGAAGUUGAGGCAGGAGAAUCACUUGAACCCCGGAGGUGGAGACUGCAGUGAGCAGAGAUGGCACCACUGCAUUCUAGCCUAGGCAACAAAGUGAGACCCUGUCUCAAAAAAAAAAAAAAAAAAAAAAUAAAAGAGAGAGAAGAAUUCGAUAGGACAGUUGAGGCUACAACAAAGCACCCUCCCUGGAAUUGCUACUGUGGGCCAGGAGAAUUCUCCC
rnacentral:lncRNA from 10 species